rnacentral:sRNA from 1 species
GCGACUUGUUUGAACAGGGGGAGAGUGCUGGCGGAUAUGAGAUGGCUGCUACUAUUCGUGCAGUGAUUGCGGAGUAUCCGACUAUCAGGGGAAGGUGUGGGAUUUAAGGAUCGAAGGUGGUGUAUUGGGUGGAGCUUACAUAUGUGUAAAGCAGAUAGGAGAGGUGUAGGGGAUAACCUUUUGAGAUGUUUUUUUUUUUUUUUUUUUUUUUUGAAAAAGGAAAUCGAACGAUUUGGUUUUGGAAAAUGAAGGGGCGAAUUUUUGUACCAAUCAAUCAAAUCUACUGCCCCUUUGGCUGUUUUCUUCACCAGUUGGAAAACUCGCAGCUUCUCCGCGUAUACUGUAUUCUCAACUACAGUGAUGGCCUUAGUGGCUUCAUAUU